GAGGCGCCCUCUGCCCGGGCACCUUGGCCGCCACCCAGCCCGCAGGUGGGCUGGCACAGCACCUGCCCAGGGAGGGGCCCCGUGAAUGUCUGGGGAGCUGAACUGAGCCGGGCAAAGGCGCCAGCUGCCUUGCGCUCUGGGGAGAAUGCGGUCACCAGUGGGGUUUCCUCGCCUUGGCCCUGGAGACCCAGGGCUGGGGGCAGGUGCCCCCGCGGCGCCUUCUUUCCGCUAUUCAGUAGCUGUGUUGUGAUCACCUGCUGUGUGCCAGGCACUGUUGUAGGUGCUGGGGAUACAGUGAAGAACCAGACGGACAAAACGCCUGCCUCGGUGGAGCGGAGAUCCCGUGAGGAUGGAACUCCAGCAGCCUGGACCCCCGUUUACCAAUGAGGAAGCGGAAAUGCAGACACUGAGAGAUGUGAUGUGGGAACAUCAGGAGCUGCCUUCUGCUGUGACCAGCAUAACCUUCAGGCACCCCCCACCCCCCAAGGCCAACAAGGUGAUGAAGGUGGACCUGAUGGACCUCAGACGCUGCGGAUGGCCCAGAAAGGGGGAGCAGAAGGUGAAAGUUUCAACAGGGGGCGCUUUGGUGCCCUGGUCCCUUUGGUUCCACCAAGGGGGGAAUAGGGAGGGGAGGAGAAGGAAUCUCCACCGGAGGCAUUUCCCCUCCCCCAGGCCCCUAUCUUGUCAUCUCUAGCACAGCCGUCUGUCCCUCCAGAUGUUUGCCUGGAAUGUUCUCUCCCCUCUGGGCCAGGAGGGAAGUACCUGUUCAUUCUUUGAGACCCAGCCCAAAGGUCCCCACGAAGCCUUGCUCAACAUCCGACAGACCCCGGGUGGUCCCACAGCAGUGGUAUCUCCUCCGGGGUAGGACUUUCUCGUAGCAAACUUUGCCGUAAUAACAGGUAAUGUUUACACGGCCUCAGUUGCCGCACUGUCGUGUACAGUAUUGGCGUCUAUCUCUCUGCCCAGCUAGUUGGUAAGUUCUAGGACAAGGCCUGUGAUUGCACAGGGGCAAAGUGGAGCUUGAACCCUGACUCAGCUUGUGCGGCCUGGGCAGUGGUAUUUAACCUCCCCAUGCCUUCCAAACCUACAGCUCCUCAGCUGUAAUGCCUACCCCACAGAGCUGGUUGAGAAUUAAAUGAGAAUAUACAGGUAAAGCAAUAAAACGGUGUUGGUUUGCCUUAA